GACGAACGCUGGCGGCGUGCUUAACACAUGCAAGUCGAACGGAAAGGCCCUGCUUUUGUGGGGUGCUCGAGUGGCGAACGGGUGAGUAACACGUGAGUAACCUGCCCUUGACUUUGGGAUAACUUCAGGAAACUGGGGCUAAUACCGGAUAGGAGCUCCUGCUGCAUGGUGGGGGUUGGAAAGUUUCGGCGGUUGGGGAUGGACUCGCGGCUUAUCAGCUUGUUGGUGGGGUAGUGGCUUACCAAGGCUUUGACGGGUAGCCGGCCUGAGAGGGUGACCGGCCACAUUAGGACUGAGAUACGGCCCAGACUCCUACGGGAGGCAGCAGUGGGGAAUAUUGCACAAUGGGCGGAAGCCUGAUGCAGCAACGCCGCGUGCGGGAUGACGGCCUGCGGGUUGUAAACCGCUUUCGCCUGUGACGAAGCGUGAGUGACGGUAAUGGGUAAAGAAGCACCGGCUAACUACGUG
rnacentral:rRNA from 1 species